UACCUGGUUGAUCCUGCCAGUAGUCAUAUGCUUGUCUCAAAGAUUAAGCCAUGCAAGUCUAAGUACGAGCUCUCGUACAGUGAAACUGCGAAUGGCUCAUUAAAUCAGUUAUGGUUCAUUUGAUCGUACAGUUUACUUGGAUAACUGUGGUAAUUCUAGAGCUAAUACAUGCGAGAAGCGCCGACCUCGCGGGAGGCGUGCAUUUAUCAGACCAAAAACCGGCCGCGUCUUCGGGCGCGUUCGCCUUGGUGACUCUGGAUAACUUUGCGGAUCGCACGGUCUAGCACCGGCGACGGAUCAUUGAAGUGUCUGCCCUAUCAACUUUCGUCGGUACGGUAUUUGCCUACCGAGGUUCUUACGGGUGACGGGGAAUCAGGGUUCGAUUCCGGAGAGGGAGCCUGAGAAACGGCUACCACAUCCAAGGAAGGCAGCAGGCGCGCAAAUUACCCAUUCCCGACGCGGGGAGGUAGUGACGAAAAAUAACAAUGCAGGACUCGUUCGAGGCCCUGUAAUUGGAAUGAGUACACUUUAAAAGCUUUAACGAGUAUCCAUUGGAG
rnacentral:ncRNA from 1 species